GCAGGAAUGCAGUUUACACAUUAGCCCAGCUGCCAGAAAUUACAGCAAGCUCAAUUCUGCUGGACUGGAACAGGGGGGGGCGUGAAAUGGAAGGAUGGCAAGGACGCAGAAAAUGAAGAGGACCCACCAUUGCAUUCUCUUGGGAAAUGAUCUGUGGUGAAUAACCAGAAACCGCAGAAGAGGCUGAGAGAGAGAGAGAGAGAGAGAGAGAGAGAGAGGGGAAGAACAGGGGGAAGGAGGAGGAGGGGAGAGCCUAGCGUCCUCUGAGGGCAGUAGACUAACAGCAUCGCAAGUAAAGUGUGUACGGGCUGUUUCCUGCUCCGUAAAGGCUCAUUUCUCCACCCUUGGUGCAUCUUACCGCUCCUGCCUGCUGACAGCAAGUUCUUCUUCCAUACAUCCCCAGACGCUCUCAGAAUGCACCUACUUUCCUGCAAGCAGAAACACGGUGACAGGAGCACAGAGACUUGAGGAUAUCUGGCAUUAAAAAGGAAGUAGGACUGAAAAGAAGGAACAAAUCCUUGAUUGGGAUUUUUUUAAUGAAAUCACUUGACGUUUACUACUCUGAAUCCAUCCAGCGUUUUAAGUUGGAACGGAACCCUGAGGGGCUAAAGGAAUAAGUGUCAUCUAAUCAAACGAAGAUCCUUUGAUUUCAUAUCGCACAGAGAGGAUCCUAAGCGAUACCAUUCAACGGGAGAUAAUUGAACUUCCUGCCUGACAGGCAGCUGAAAAUGGAGAACUAGAAGUUCAAGUGGUUUUUCUGGGGGAUAUGUUCAAGCACCCCACCACUCAGAAUCAGAUUGCAGGCCUGUUCUGAUGGCCAUCUUCUAGCGAUCUGUGGCAUUUGGUGUUGUUUUUUUCUCACUUUUUCUGAUAAGGGAAAGACCUACUUUGGAAUUAUUUUGUAUCUCAAAUUUUAGACUAACAUUCAACAGUUUUACGGUGUAGGUCUAGAAAGAAAAACAAAGAAAGAGAGAUCAGAUGGUGGCAUGCUUUGGAUUGACAAUUCCGUUCUCCUCCAAUCUGGGUAAAAAAGGAAAAAUGUUUUAAAUGCUUUAGUUUUGCUAUUCAGAUUCAGGUAAAUUGAAAGUCAGUAGGAGAACAAGACCAAAGAAAGCGAAAAUUGGAGGGAGGGGGCCAGAUGCCACAGAUCGUCGCAAACUCCUACCUUUUGAAAAGUUAAGCUUCUUUUUCCAUUUUCAUCUUCUUUUCAUCUUGAAAAUUAGAUUUUUUUGUUCUUUCAGAUGACCCUUAAGACUGUAAGGGAGACCGUAACACAUUGCAGUGACUGAGAUAGGGUGGGGAAAAGGAGGGAGAAGCUUUCCCCCCGUAUCUGAAACAGAAUGUUCUGUUGGCUUCUCAUUUUUGCAGUUUUAGGUAUUUAUCUUGUCACUCCAUUCUCAAACUCCAUUUUUAUCCCCCUCUCCGUGCCUCUGGGAGAGCAAAGGACAGAAUUGAGUUAUUUUAUCCCUGCUGGAAUUUUUUUUAUUUGCCUUCCCGACUGAUUUUUCUUCUGUACUCCUGUUUACCCCAGACAAAAUGCUGUUGGAUCUCAAGUCAAAAUCAGGAACCUGAUAGCGUUUGGCAAAAGAUUCCACAAGGAGAGCCAGGCAACAAGAACAAGAGACGGAAACCUAACCUCCGAUCUUAAAAAAAGCGUGAGAUCUGCUUUCCCCCUCCCCGUUUCAGAGGUGUCCUCCGAUAUUCCUUCCUCUUUUCCCCCGGAAUCUGUCAGCAUUCCCGACGGGACGCAGCCAGCUUGUAUCCGUGCCAAUCCUUUGAUAUUAGCUCCCGGUGUCGUCUGCUUCAU